rnacentral:tRNA from 1 species
GCCUGGGUGACUCAGUUGGUUAAGUGUCUGACUUUGGUUCAGGUCAUGAUCUUAUGGUUUGUAGGUUCAAGCCCCAUGUCAGGCU